GUAGCCGACCUGAGAGGGUGAUCGCACAUUGGAACUGAGACACGUCCAGACUCCUACGGGAGGCAGCAGUGGGGAAUAUUGCACAUGGGCGAAAGCCUGAUGCAGCAACGCCGCGUGAGUGAUGAAGGCUUUCGAGUCGUAAGCUCUUUGAUCAGGGAUGAUAAUGACAGUACUGAAAAACAAGCACGGCUAACUACGUGCCAGCAGCCGCGGUAAUACGUAGGUGGCGAGCGUUGUCCGGAAUUACUGGGCGUAAAGGAUGCGUAGGUGGAUAUUUAAGUGGGAUGUGAAAUCCCCGGGCUCAACCCGGGAACUGCAUUCCAAACUGGAUAUCUAGAGUGCAGGAGAGGAAAGCGGAAUUCCUAGUGUAGCGGUGAAAUGCGUAGAUAUUAGGAGGAACACCAGUGGCGAAGGCGGCUUUCUGGACUGUAACUGACACUGAGGCAUGAAAGCGUGGGUAGCAAACAGGAUUAGAUACCCUGGUAGUCCACGCCGUAAACGAUGGGUACUAGGUGUAGGAGGUAUCGACCCCUUCUGUGCCGUCGUUAACACAAUAAGUACCCCGCCUGGGGAGUACGGUCGCAAGACUAAAACUCAAAGGAAUUGACGGGGGCCCGCACAAGCAGCGGAGCAUGUGGUUUAAUUCGAAGCAACGCGAAGAACCUUACCUAGACUUGACAUCUCCUGAAUUACUCUUAAUCGAGGAAGCCCUUCGGGGCAGGAAGACAGGUGGUGCAUGGUUGUCGUCAGCUCGUGUCGUGAGAUGUUGGGUUAAGUCCCGCAACGAGCGCAACCCCUAUUUUUAGUUGCUACCAUUCAGUUGAGCACUCUAAAGAGACUGCCCGGGUUAACCGGGAGGAAGGUGGGGAUGACGUCAAAUCAUCAUGCCCCUUAUGUCUAGGGCUACACACGUGCUACAAUGGUGAGAACAAAGAGACGCAAGACCGCGAGGUGGAGCAAAUCUCACAAAACUCAUCCCAGUUCGGAUUGCAGGCUGAAACUCGCCUGCAUGAAGCCGGAGUUGCUAGUAAUCGCGAAUCAGCAUGUCGCGGUGAAUACGUUCCCGGGCCUUGUACACACCGCCCGUCACACCAUGAGAGUUGGCAAUACCCGAAGUCCGUGGGGCAACCGUUACGAGCCAGCGCCGAAGUAG
rnacentral:rRNA from 1 species